UACGUAGGGUGCGAGCGUUGUCCGGAAUUAUUGGGCGUAAAGAGCUUGUAGGCGGUCUGUCGCGUCUGCUGUGAAAAUCCGGGGCUCAACCCCGGACUUGCAGUGGGUACGGGCAGACUAGAGUGUGGUAGGGGAGACUGGAAUUCCUGGUGUAGCGGUGAAAUGCGCAGAUAUCGGGAGGAACACCAGUGGCGAAGGCGGUUGCCUGGGGCUUUGCUGACGCUGAGGCGCGAAAGCGUGGGGAGCGAUCCGG
rnacentral:rRNA from 1 species